rnacentral:rRNA from 1 species
UACGUAGGGUGCAAGCGUUAAUCGGAAUUACUGGGCGUAAAGCGUGCGCAGGCGGUUCUAUAAGUCAGCUGUGAAAUCCCCGGGCUCAACCUGGGAACUGCAUUUGUGACUGUAGAGCUGGAGUACGGCAGAGGGGGAUGGAAUUCCGCGUGUAGCAGUGAAAUGCGUAGAUAUGCGGAGGAACACCGAUGGCGAAGGCAAUCCCCUGGGCCUGUACUGACGCUCAUGCACGAAAGCGUGGGGAGCAAACAGG